rnacentral:rRNA from 1 species
GAUGAACGCUGGCGGCGUGCCUAAUACAUGCAAGUCGAGCGAACAGACGAGGAGCUUGCUCCUUCGACGUUAGCGGCGGACGGGUGAGUAACACGUAGGUAACCUACCUAUAAGACUGGGAUAACUUCGGGAAACCGGAGCUAAUACCGGAUAAUAUUUCGAACCGCAUGGUUCGAUAGUGAAAGAUGGCUUUGCUAUCACUUAUAGAUGGACCUGCGCCGUAUUAGCUAGUUGGUAAGGUAACGGCUUACCAAGGCAACGAUACGUAGCCGACCUGAGAGGGUGAUCGGCCACACUGGAACUGAGACACGGUCCAGACUCCUACGGGAGGCAGCAGUAGGGAAUCUUCCGCAAUGGGCGAAAGCCUGACGGAGCAACGCCGCGUGAGUGAUGAAGGUCUUCGGAUCGUAAAACUCUGCUAUUAGGGAAGAACAAACGUGUAAGUAACUGCGCACGUCUUGACGGUACCUAAUCAGAAAGCCACGGCUAACUACGUG